rnacentral:rRNA from 1 species
AUGCUUGGUGUUUCGGCGUUGUCUGUGUGUGGUCUUGCGGGCGUAUCACCUCAAACACAUCCCAGGAUGAUGCACGAGUUGCUGAGGAAAUGCCCAAGCAUGUGGCCUCUCAGCUACAACUUCGUCUCAUGGAAGCUGUUGGAUGUGGACAGCCAGUACGAAUUCAAGUCUACGUGGCUCAUCCAGGAGGAAAAGAAGAGGGGCUCGAGUGGUUUCUCUCUGGAUAAGGGCAGAAAACAUUGUGCUCUGAACAUGCUUGUUGAUAUGCCCAUGAGAAUGGGUACAUUUUUCUACAGAUUUUUGUGUUGCUGA